UUGACCUCAAAUCAGGUAGGACUACCCGCUGAACUUAAGCAUAUCAAUAAGCGGAGGAAAAGAAACUAACAAGGAUUCCCUUAGUAACUGCGAGUGAAGAGGGAAAAGCUCAAAUUUAAAAUCUGGCAGUGUUUCACUGUCCGAGU
rnacentral:rRNA from 1 species